rnacentral:rRNA from 1 species
AACGAACGCUGGCGGCAGGCCUAACACAUGCAAGUCGAGCGAAGCCUUCGGGCUUAGCGGCGGACGGGUGAGUAACGCGUGGGAACGUGCCCUUUGGUACGGAAUAGCCCCGGGAAACUGGGAGUAAUACCGUAUGUGGUCGAGAGACGAAAGAUUUAUCGCCAAAGGAUCGGCCCGAGUUGGAUUAGGUAGUUGGUGGGGUAAUGGCCUACCAAGCCGACGAUCCAUAGCUGGUUUGAGAGGAUGAUCAGCCACACUGGGACUGAGACACGGCCCAGACUCCUACGGGAGGCAGCAGUGGGGAAUCUUAGACAAUGGGGGAAACCCUGAUCUAGCCAUGCCGCGUGAUCGAUGAAGGCCUUAGGGUUGUAAGGAUCUUUCAGUGGGGAAGAUAAUGACUGUACCCACAGAAGAAGCCCCGGCUAACUCCGUGCCAGCCGCCGCCGUAAGAC